UACAGGGGGUGCAAACGUUGCUCGGAAUCAUUGGGCGUAAAGCGCACGUAGGCGGUCUGUUAUGUCGGAUGUGAAAGCCCUUGGCUCAACUGAGGAAGUGCAUCCGAAACUGGCAGGCUAGAGUACUAAAGAGGAUCGCGGAAUUCCCGGUGUAGAGGUGAAAUUCGUAGAUAUCCGGAGGAACACCGGUGGCGAAGGCGGCUUCCUGGACCGACACUGACGCUGAGGCGCGAAAGCUAGGGGAGCAAACGGG
rnacentral:rRNA from 1 species